AUCUCUGUAGAGUCUGCAUAUCAAUAAGCGGAGGAAAAGAAACUAACAAGGAUUCCCUUAGUAACGGCGAGUGAAGCGGGAAGAGCUCAAAUUUGAAAUCUUCAAGGUUCUACCUUGACGAAUUGUAGUUUAAAGAAGUGUUUUCUGUUAGAUGAGUAGCAAAAGUUCCUUGGAAUGGGACAUCAUAGAGGGUGAGAAUCCCGUAUUUGGUUAUUCAUUCUAGCUUUGUGAUACACUUUCAAAGAGUCGGAUUGUUUGGGAAUGCAGUCCAAAAUGGGUGGUAAAUUUCAUCUAAAGCUAAAUAUUGGCGAGAGACCGAUAGCGAACAAGUACCGUGAGGGAAAGAUGAAAAGAACUUUGAAAAGAGAGUUAAACAGUACGUGAAAUUGUCAAAAGGGAAGCGUUUGACACCAGUGUUGUUUUUCCGAAAAUCAAUUACGAAUGGCUUGAUUCUGUGUUGUAUUGACCUUAUCAGCUUUCUUCACUUUUUUCGAGUCUUUCUUAAUGCACUUCUCGGUUAACAAGUCAACAUCAAUUUCUUUUGUUGUAAAAGAGUAUUCGGAAGGUGGCUUUCUUUUCGGAGAAAGUGUUUAUAGCCCUAUACUUCUACAAUCGGAGAGAUUGAGGUCUGCAGCGUAGAUCCUUCGGGGUUAGAUACAUUUGUGCUAAGUUGUAGCUUUUCAUAGACAACUUGUUGACUAUGUUUAGUCAUGCGGCUUACUCGCUUAUGCUAUUUUACCUACGCUUAGGAUGUUGAAGAUGUAGCACAUCAU
rnacentral:rRNA from 1 species